UAUUAUAACGUAGUCAAUGUUAAUCCCGAUAUCUAGGCCAAAUAUCUCUCCAUUCCGGGUCAUCUUCUCUUAUAUCUCUCUUUCGGCUGAUUUAAAGAAUUGUAACCCUCAUUCUUUUCCCUAUCUCUCUUCAGCAACUCCAUAACAAUCGACCACCACGAACAGAAAAAACACCAUCAAAACCACCACUUAUUGCCAUCGGUAAACCUUAUUUUGGUCACCUGUCAGAUUUUCUCAACUUCUUUAUGCCUCUUUUGAAACAAAGAGCAGGAAUGGUUCAAAUCGAGCACCAGGUCGGAGAAUAUAAAGGGACAUUGAACAUAUGGAGUUGUGGUUUUAUGAAGGGUAAAUUUGUCAUUUUUUGGUCUAUUAGGCUACUAGCUAUCUAGAGAGAAUUAUACUACUUUAUCUGUCAAAGCAAUUUCAGUAACAGCCUACCCAAUUUAGUCCAUAUGUUAAGGAUUUGAAUUCUGAUCUACUAAAGUUUGCUUCAACUUUCAUAUUCACAUAUUCAUAUUUGUCCAUGAAGUAGUUACUGUAGAAAAUUUUGAUCAUGUAGUAGCUACUACAGAAAAGUUUGAUGAAGUUGUUCUGAAAUCAAUUUGGUAAGGUCCUUUUCUUUCUUUAUUUUAAUUGCUUUUGAACCUAAUGUACAUUUUCUUUUGUAAAACAUUCAAUUUUAAAACAUGUUUUUUUUAUGUUUUUUUACAUGUUAAUGACAAUUGAGCAAACUGAAAAUAUAAGAAGGUAUAUUUGUGGCAAAAGAUAUGAUGUUGUGGAAGAAGAAACCAUGUCCAUUAUGCCCUCAAAGAAUAGUCCAGCCACCAUAGUUAAAGGUCAAAUGAACCUCAAGGCAUUCUUUCUUGCUCCUCCAAUGAAUCAUAAAUACCAGCAUUAUUUGUUAAAAAUUACUAAAGUUUCAUUUUUUUAACGUAUUAACUAAUUUUCAUAUUAACUUAACAAUAAUAUUUAUUUUAGACAAUGUAUUAAGUAGGAAUUUACAAAAUAAACAUUAAGC